rnacentral:rRNA from 1 species
AUUGAACGCUGGCGGCAGGCCUAACACAUGCAAGUCGAGCGAGCGGCGGACGGGUGAGUAAUGUCUGGGAAACUGCCUGAUGGAGGGGGAUACCUCAUGGAAACGGUGGCUAAUCCCGCAUACAAUCGAAUGGUCAAAGAUGGUAUUAGCUAGUAGGUGGGGUAACGGCUCACCUAGGCGCCGAUCCCUAGCUGGUCUGAGAGGAUGACCAGCCACACUGGAACUGAGACACGGUCCAGACUCCUACGGGAGGCGGCAGUGGGGAAUAUUGCACAAUGGGCGCAAGCCUGAUGCAGCCAUGCCGCGUGUGUGAAGAAGGCCUUCGGGUUGUAAAGCACUUUCAGCGGGGAGGCGUUACCCGCAGAAGAAGCACCGGCUAACUCCGUGCCAGCCGCCGCGGUAAUUC